CUUCACUUUCAAACACAAGAGUAUGUGGUGGUAGUUGCAUCCAGUUAAACAUGGUGCCCAAAUUCUACACCCAAACAUCAUGGAGGCCUGCACUUCAUCUUCAACACACCCACAAUUUCACCAGACCACAUGUCGGCUUUGAUGGAGUGCAAAGCAAUCUUGGAUCCUACCAGUCUUCAACUGUUGACACCUAAAGAAGCAGAAAAGCAAUUUUUUUUUCCAAGGUACAGAUUCAGGGCCGGCUAUAGGGAGGUGCAGGAUGGGUCUGCAAUCAUGGCUCAAAUCAGUAUAGGGCCCGAAAAGUUUUUAAUAUAUAUAUAUAUAUAUAUAUAUAUAUAUAUAUAUAAUCUAGAUGUUUUUAUAAAUAAUGGUCUGCUUAAAAGUUUUAUAAAUGGCAUGAUAAAAAGUUUUAUAACCCAAUUUUAAAACCCAAUUAACAAGCCCAAGUGACUAAUAAACAAAAUUAUAACCCAAUUGGCAAUUGUGGGAAACAAAACGUCGCACCAGACUUGGGAAGGGAAACAUUCACGUUCGUUCAUCAUCAUCUCAAUUCUCACAUCAGACGACUUGGGGAUUCAUCAAGACAUCAAUCAUCAUCACAGCAGCAGAGGAGAUCAUCAUCGUAGCAGGAGAUCAUCAUCAACAUCGCAGCAGGGGAUCAUCAUCAUCAUCGCAGCAGACCGGCAGACUUGGAAGUAUAAAACUGUCAAACUGAUUUCAUAUGUGAUUCUGAUUUAAUAUGUCUUAGUGUGUGAUUCUGAUUGAUUUCAUAUGUUGAGGUAUAAAUGUGAUUCUGAUUUCAUAUACUAUAAAACUUUGUUUGAUGUUUAAAUGUUUAAUACUUUAAAUGUAUUAGUAUUAGACUUCGUGUU